AUUGAACGCUGGCGGCAGGCCUAACACAUGCAAGUCGAGCGGAGUGGCGGACGGGUGAGUAAUGCCUAGGAAUCUGCCUGGUAGUGGGGGAUAAGGUCCGGCAAUGGGCGAUAAUACCGCAUACUAUCAGAUGAGCCUAGGUCGGAUUAGAUAGUUGGUGGGGUAAAGGCAUACAAAGGCUACGAUCCGUAACUGGUCGGAGAGGAUGAUCGGUCACACGGGAACUGGGAAACGGUCCAGAUUCCUACGGAAGGAAGCAGUGGGGAAGAUUGGACAAUGGGCGAAAGCCUGAUCCAGCCAUGCCGCGGGUGUGAAGAAGGUCUUCGGAUUGUAAAGCACUUUAAGUUGGGAGGCGUUACCAACAGAAUAAGCACCGGCUAACUUCGUGCCAGCAGCCGCGGUAAUUC
rnacentral:rRNA from 1 species